GGGACCUUCGGGCCUUGCGCUAUCAGAUGAGCCUAGGUCGGAUUAGCUAGUUGGUGAGGUAAUGGCUCACCAAGGCUACGAUCCGUAACUGGUCUGAGAGGAUGAUCAGUCACACUGGAACUGAGACACGGUCCAGACUCCUACGGGAGGCAGCAGUGGGGAAUAUUGGACAAUGGGCGAAAGCCUGAUCCAGCCAGGCCGCGUGUGUGAAGAAGGUCUUCGGAUGUAAAGCAAAGGAAGUUGGGAGGAAGGGCA
rnacentral:rRNA from 1 species